AUGGAUCACAUACAGGAAGUACGGCAGCUGGAGUUGCUAUGCAAGCAAUUGUACGAGUCGCAGGAUUCAGCGCAUCGCGCAGAGGCGGAAAAGGCCUUGGUCGCUUUCCAGAAUGCACCAGAUACUCUUACGAAGUGCCAGCUUCUCCUGGACCGCGGGGACUCUGCGUACGCUCAAUUACUGGCCGCUACCACCUUGACAAAGCUGGUAUCACGUUCGGCACAGGGACAACUUACAACAACACUCAGCUUACAACAGAGGCUUGAUAUACGAAAUUACGUACUCAACUACUUAGCAACACAACCAAAGUUACCGAAUUUUGUGAUACAGGCUUUGGUUACACUAUUCGCGAGGAUAUCAAAGCUUGGGUGGUUUGAUUCUGAUAAAGAGGAAUUUGUCUUCAGGAAUGUAGUCAGCGAUGUAGCCAAGUUUCUUCAGGGGUCAGUGGAGCAUUGUAUGAUAGGAGUACAGUUGCUUUCUCAAUUGACAUGUGAAAUGAAUCAAAUAUCGGAAGCCGAUGCAAACAGAUCUCUGACAAAGCAUAGAAGAAUAGCGAGUAGCUUUAGAGACACACAACUAUUUGAAAUAUUUAGGUUAUCAUGUACCUUACUAAGCACUGCUCGCGAGAAUUGUAAAAAUUUAAAUUUCAAUGAUGAGGCGCAGCACGGUUUGAUAAGACAAUUGUUAAAGCUUGCACAAAAUUGUUUGACAUUUGACUUUAUUGGUACAUCAACUGAUGAAAGUUCGGAUGAUCUUAAUACAGUACAAAUCCCGACAAGCUGGAGACCUGCGUUUCUGGAUUUUACUUCUUUGAAAUUGUUUUUUGAUCUAUAUCACAGUCUACCUAAUACGUUAUCGUGUUUGGCACUCUCAUGCCUGGUUCAAAUAGCGUCGGUUAGACGGAGUUUAUUUUCCAAUACUGAAAGGGCAAAAUUUCUGACACACUUAGUCAAUGGUAUUAAGCAUAUACUACAGAAUCCUCAGGGUCUUAGUGAUCCAGGAAACUAUCACGAGUUUUGUAGAUUAUUGUCUCGACUGAAGAGCAAUUUCCAACUUGGCGAGUUGGUUUUGGUAGAGGAUUAUCCCGAAGCAAUACAACUGAUCGCAAAGUUUACAGUGCAAAGCUUACAAAUGUGGCAAUUUGCGCCAAAUAGUCUGCAUUAUCUUUUGACUUUGUGGCAAAGGAUGGUAUCUUCAAUGCCAUAUGUAAAAGCUGGUGAUCCACAUUUAUUGAAUACGUACACACCGGAAGUUACAAACGCGUACAUUACAUCGAGACUCGAGUCGGUAGCAGUAGUGGUCAGAGAACGCUUGGAGGAUCCAUUGGACGAUCUAGGAGUGGUUCAUCAUCAGUUAGAACAAAUAUCAGUCAUUGGUAGGUGCGAGUAUCAAAAAACCUGCACCUUACUAGUCCAACUGUUCGAUCAAGCUGCAAGAACAUACCAAGAGCUAAUGACGCAAACGGUGUCACCAACGCAACAAAUUGACAUUGCAAUUCAAGAGGGACAACUCACAUGGCUUGUAUAUAUCAUAGGUGGUGUUAUCGGCGGAAGAGUUGCAUUUAACAGUAACGAGGAAUUUGAUGCUAUGGAUGGAGAACUGGUUUGCAGAGUGCUUCAAUUGAUGAAUCUAACUGACUCAAGACUCGCGCAAGGGGGCUGUGAAAAAUUGGAAUUAGCGAUGUUGAGCUUUUUUGAGCAAUUUCGGAAAAUUUAUGUUGGUGAUCAAGUUCAAAAGAAUUCUAAAGUGUAUAGGAGGUUGUCUGAUGUGUUGGGUCUUAAUGAUGAGGCGAUGGUACUCAGCAUUUUUAUUCGAAAGAUAAUAACGAAUUUGAAGUACUGGGGUAGGAGUGAACAAAUUAUUUCCAAGACGCUACAACUUUUAAAUGAUUUAUCAGUGGGUUAUAGUUGUGUUCGUAAACUCGUCAAAUUAGAAGAAGUACAAUUUAUGCUCAACAAUCAUACGCGAGAACACUUUCCAUUUUUGGGAAACAAUGUUGCUGUGACAGAAAUGCGCUGUAGAUCAAUGUUUUACACAUCUCUUGGUAGAUUAUUGAUGGUAGACUUAGGUGAGGACGAAGAAAGGUUUCAUACCUUUAUGUUACCUCUUACAGGUGCAUUAGAGAGCCUUGGUCAAUUAAUGGGUGCUGCAGAUACACCUCUCUUUGCAGCAGAGGAAGCAAAGAAAGCAUUGAUUGGUUUAGCGCGAGAUCUUAGAGGCUUAGCUUAUGCAUUCAACACCAAGACAUCCUAUAUGAUGCUUUUUGAUUGGAUAUAUCCGAAUUAUACACCGAUUUUAUUACAUGCUGUGGAGUUGUGGCAUCACGAACCACAGGUGACAACGCCCGUCCUGAAGUUAUUUGCUGAGUUAGUACAAAAUAGGAGUCAACGAUUACAGUUUGAUGCAUCGUCUCCAAAUGGGAUACUGUUGUUCCGCGAGGCUAGCAAAAUAAUAUGUAGCUAUGGCAAUCACAUAUUAAACGUUGAAGUACCUAAGGAUCAGAUUUAUCCUUUAAAACUCAAAGGAAUAAGUAUAUGCUUCAGUAUGUUAAAAGCAGCCUUGUGCGGAAGUUACGUAAACUUUGGAGUGUUUAGGCUAUAUGGUGAUGAGGCGUUGGACAAUGCCCUUAAUACAUUUGUUAAAUUACUCCUUAGUAUUCCACAAAGUGAUCUCUUGCAUUAUCCAAAACUGUCGGCAACAUAUUAUUUGUUACUGGAAUGUCUGGCGCAAGAUCACAUGGUCUUUUUAUCUACUUUGGAACCUAGGGUUUUUCUGUACAUCCUUUCCAGUAUCAGCGAAGGCCUUACAGCACUAGAUACUAUGGUUUGUACCGGUUGCUGUGCAACUCUUGAUCAUAUUGUGACAUAUUUGUUUAAACAACUUUAUCAAAAAGGAUAUCCAGGAAGGAAAAAUGCAGUUGUUCCUGGAGGAGGAGAAUUAUUUUUACAAGUUUUAAAACAGCAUCCUGAAAUACUUCAACAAAUUUUAAGUACUGUUUUAAAUGUGAUAAUGUUUGAAGAUUGUAGAAAUCAAUGGAGCAUGUCUCGUCCUUUAUUAGGUCUCAUAUUAUUAAAUGAAGACUAUUUCAAUCAAUUAAGAGAAAAUAUUAUUAGAAGUCAACCAGUUGAUAAGCAAGCAGCGAUGGCCCAAUGGUUUGAAAAUUUAAUGAAUGGGAUUGAAAGAAAUUUACUCACAAAAAAUAGAGAUAGGUUUACACAAAAUUUAUCAAUGUUUAGAAGAGACAUAAAUGAUGCCCUAAAAGGACCUAAUAUAUCAAAUUCAGUCAAUGAUAUGAUGACUUCGUAGUAAUACUGCUCUCUCUGAAAUAGAUUCUUCUAGGUUCUUGCCUGCCAAAUGCUUGAAUAUUCUUGUAGAAGAGAGAGAGAGAGAGAGGGGGGGAGACACAAAUCGCGAUACACUCAUUACUUAAAAUUUAUUCAAAUAAAAGAGCUAUUAUGAAGCUAUAUUAUCCAGUGAGUUAUGAAUAAUGUGAACGAUGUAAAUGAGGAUAUCAUUAAAUUUAUCAUACAAAGAUUCACUUAAGAAUAUAUAGUUAUUAUAUUGUGUUAUUAUUGACAUUACUUCAGAAAGAUAGAUGAACGAAAUAGAUAUUACGAGACGUUAAGUAAUAUUCGUUAAUUUUACUAUAUAAAAACGAUUAUAUAUAAAGCAAAUCACGCAAUUUUGAGCAAUCGUCUGUCUAACAGCAUUGUCUCAAUUGUAUCCUAUAUCACGAACUUCUAUAUUGAUUAAUAUUUAUUGAGUCAUAACUAUCAAAAUGUUCAAAUUUUCAUCGACAGAUAAAUAAAUAUAAAAAAUAUUCGAUAUAUUUUAUAACAAAAUAAAAUUGGGAUAAUCGAGAAAUGGACAAACAAAAUGGACAGGAUAAGAUAUAGGAUGUUGCGCUAAGAUAUCUUAUAUCGAAAUGUUUUUAAUCAUCCUCUUUUAUUGUAAAUAUCGUUGCAAAAUUUAUUGGCCAUAGAAGAGAGAGAGAGAGAAAGAAAGAGAGGAAACAUUCCUUUAUUUUUUUAUACGU